rnacentral:tRNA from 1 species
GCUCCGGUAGCUCAAGGGGUUAGAGCACGUGCCUUAUAAGCGCGAGGUUAUGGGUUCGAUGCCCAUUCGGAGUACCA